GUCAAAACAAUGUUUACAAUACUACCCUGUAUUUUAAUACAUAUACAUUUUGAGAUUUAAAAUAAAUUCCAAGCUGUUUAUAGUAGAAUCACAGGUGAUUUUGUUUUCUUCGUGUUGCUUAUCUCUAUUGUCUUAAUGUUUGAUGGGGAAAAAUAAGUGUAUUGCUUUCAAAAUAAGAGGGGAAAAAAGUAGUCUGGAAAACUAUUUUCAUUGCACAUCUGAUGGAGUUAAAAAUUGAGCCUAGUUCUUAUAACACAUUCUUGUAUUCAUGUAUCUUAACAAAUAAUACUUAUGGCCUGAGGUGAGCUUGCCCUCUGGUACUGCAGAAAAAAACCAAAGGCCCACUACCUGCCCUCUGACGACUUAACAGUUCUGCAACCCAGACAAGCAGAAAACUUCAAUCCCUGCCUUUGAAGUGAGACAUGAGGGCUCACCUCUGCCAAGGGCCUCUGAGGUCUCCACAGCUCCUUGGACUGACCUUGGAGCCAGCACUGCCUCCGGUACCUUGAGGGUGCCUGGGACCACCGCCCCUCUCCCGCCCCCGCCCGCAGGAAGGCUACUGACGUCCCAGGGGAUCAGGGUGUGGAUGAAGUAGCCUGGGCCUGCAGCUACUUUCCCAAGUCUACUUUCCCAUCCAGACAGCCUGUCCCACUGCCCUUGGACACCCACCUCGUCACACUCCUCUGUUCCUCCCCUUCCCAUCCUCUCUGUCCGGUGUCUUCCAGGCCAUCUCCAAAGAAACCUGCUGCUCCACCCCCAAUCUGUUGCUUGUGCCUUACUAGAGGUUUCUGCCCUUAUCAGCGCCAAGUCCCAGGGAAGGAAGAAACAUGCUCCAGGGCUGGAAGUUCUUCUUUGAGGGGAGGAAGUUCCCUAGAGUCUGCAGCAGAUGGGGGAGGCCCCAGUGGAGCGCACGUGGAUGCAUUUCUGGGAGGAAACCAAGUACCAUCCGCUCUCGUUCGCUCCCAUCCAGUGUUUUCUUCCCCCACCCUCAGCCUCACCCUGCUGACCUCUGGCUCCUGCUUAGCUCAGGAACUGUGGACUCAGAACAAAGUUUGAGGUUCUGCUUCUCCGAUUCACCCCUUUCUCCUUCCUGAUUACUGGCAUGGAGCCAGGCACUGCAGGACGGAAAUCAGGUAACUUUACAGAUGGGAGGAAUGAAGUGGUGCUUGUAGGGGCCUACACUGUUCGGGGAACCAAUGUAAACUGCAUGAGGACAGGGAUCUUGUCUGCAUGGUCCACAGAACUAUCCUAGCACAGUGCUGGCACAAGUUGAGCUCAUGAAAUGAAUGAGUCAUUUGAUAUUGUGAAUAUGCAUCCACUUAUUCAUACCUUAUGACUAAGAAAACAAGCUGUUAUUCCAUUUUAUGGAAAGGGCAACUGAGACACAAAAUUACAGGCAGGAAGCGAUCAAACUGGGGGUUGAAUCCAGAGCAAUCUGUCUCCAAAGCCUGUGUUCCUUCCACUGCAGCCCAUGGGGUCCAGGCAUCCUGCCCGUUGAUGCCUGAGGCACCAGGGAAUUAGGAGUGGCAGAGACCCAAACCUGUGAUUCCUGCCGAACCUUCUCCCUACCCUCCAGAUCCUGGAGAGGGCAUCCCACAAUGCUCUCCAUUCAUUUCUGGGCUCCAUGCCAUUGGCAUUGUCUUCCAGCUCUGGACUUCAGGCUAUGCCACUUUCAGACCUUCAGCCCCAGCCCCUUGCCCUGCUUGGGACUUUGAAGAUGAGGUUACAUGCCUCAGAUUUUCUCUCACCUCAGCUCUCAGGAUCCCAGCCAUACCUGCUCUGCCCCCUCCCCUCUAACCCUCCAGCAACAUGGGCUUCCUCUGGGUACCUCAUGUCCAACCCUGACAAGCAGCAGAGCCCAGGGAAAAGAGGACCAGGUUCCGCUCUCCUGUCAUGUACCAGCUAGAUGACUCUAGGCAAUUCUUUUCAUCUCUCCAGGACUCAGGUUUUUCAACUGGAAAAUGGGGAUUUAAAAAAAAUCCAUGCCUAACUCCCAAGGCUGUCAUAAGAAUGGAUUAAGGCAAAAGCUGUGAAGUGCUUUGCAAAUGAGAAAACCUCCUAUUCUUCACUUUCUUCUGAUGGCAGAUCCCCAGCUCUCCUUCCCAAGGUUCUUGCUCUCCUGGCACAAUGUACCCUGAGCACUGCAGGUGCCUCUACCAUCUUUGCUUCAUGCAGAACCAUGACAUGUCACCAUUUAAAACCCCAAAAAAGAGCCUCACAAGUGGCAUAAUAAAGCAAUGGCUUAGAGCUCCAGCAAGAGUAAAAAUUCAACUCUCCAAAUUUUAGCUCUUCCACUUACUAACAGUGUUAACUUUGAACAAUCAUGUUACCUCUCUAAGCCUCAGUUUCCCCAUCUAAAAAGUGGGAUAAUAAUACCUGUCUUACCAGGUAGAGAAUGUGUAUGUAGCACUAGGGACAUAUUAAAUGCUCAAUAAAUGGCUACUAUUGUUAUCUCCUCUAAUUUUAGUCUCAACUCUUGAAAAAUGAGUCCAUUGUCAGACUUCGUAGCUUGUCACCUCUUUCUCGAUGGUCUCAGUGUCAGUUCCUUGGUGCAUAUCCUUGUUUUCCCCUCCUUCAGUGCUGACCACAGCCUCUUCUUCCUGCCCUCAAGCCAACCACCGCAUUCUGUUUUGACCUUAUCACCACCAUGGGUUUCCAGGGAGCCAUACCACAAAAGGAAGAGAGGACACAGAUGAGGGGAGGGGACCUGCCCAAAGUCACAGGGUUGCUACACUGGCAGAGCCGCUUCUAGGCUCACGGAGCCAGUCAUUGGGAUUGUCCCAACCCAAAGCCCCAACGGGAAUCGAAUUCCUUAAAGCCCAAGACUAGCUCCCCUUGUGAAUACCCUUCUUUUCAAAGUCCUUUGCAAGGGUGCCCUUGUGGCCUGGCCUCCCUUUGCCCAUGUCUUUCCCAGCCCAUCUUUUCAGCCCCUUCUGAUUACUGUCACUCUCCACUUCCUUGACUGUCUUUCUCCACCAGUAAGCUUUCUUCCACAUGAUUCCUUCAUAGCUUGUUCAUGCAUGAGCCAGGCCUCAUACUGGCUACUGGGGGUAC
rnacentral:lncRNA from 1 species